GGAAGUCCUCGUGUUGCAUCCCUCA
rnacentral:siRNA from 1 species